rnacentral:rRNA from 1 species
GCCCAGACUCCUACGGGAGGCAGCAGUGGGGAAUAUUGCACAAUGGGGGAAACCCUGAUGCAGCGACGCCGCGUGAGUGAAGAAGUAUUUCGGUAUGUAAAGCUCUCUCAGCAGGGAAGAAAAACCGACCUUAGGGUCGCUAGACGGUACCUGAUUAAGAAGCCCCGGCUAACUACGUGCCAGCAGCCGCGGUAAUACGUAGGGGGCAAGCGUUAUCCGGAUUUACUGGGUGUAAAGGGCGUGUAGGCGGGUCUGCAAGUCAGAUGUGAAAUUCCAGGGCUCAACCCUGGAACUGCAUUUGAAACUGUAGAUCUUGAGUGAUGGAGAGGCAGGCGGAAUUCCGUGUGUAGCGGUGAAAUGCGUAGAUAUCAGGAGGAACACCGGCGGCGAAGGCGGCCUGCUGGACCGUGACUGACGUUGAGGCUCGAGAGCGUGGGGAGCAAACAGGAUUAGAUACCCGCGUA